rnacentral:rRNA from 1 species
UACGUAGGGGGCUAGCGUUGUCCGGAAUCAUUGGGCGUAAAGCGCGUGUAGGCGGUUCGGUAAGUCCGCUGUGAAAGUCGGGGGCUCAACCCUCGAAUGCCGGUGGAUACUGUCGGACUAGAGUACGGAAGAGGCGAGUGGAAUUCCUGGUGUAGCGGUGAAAUGCGCAGAUAUCAGGAGGAACACCAAUUGCGAAGGCAGCUCGCUGGGCCACUACUGACGCUGAGAAGCGAAAGCAUGGGGAGCGAACAGG